rnacentral:lncRNA from 1 species
AAUAAAAUCUCUAUAAAUAAAUUAAUAACAUAGCUUUUUUGGGGAAAAAAAAUAGGCUGAACUCCUUGCAGAAUGGAUUUUGACCUCGAAGAGAGCCAGUUAGCUUCUAAGGAACAAGUCAAGCAGCCAGGUCAGGCCUCUGCAGCAGGGUGAAGUUAGCUGUACCCGGAGCUUUCAUUCCUUAAGUGCGUUUUACUGUGGCUUCAUGACCAUUAUCUCGUUUGAACUGCGGGUCUACUUUACCAGGUAUACUUUACAAAUGAGGAAAGUGCAAUUUGAAAAGCCCGGUAGCUGCCCAAAUCCAGCAGAGUGACACAGACACAUUGGGUGGCCCAGCGGACCUUGUGAGGUGGGAAAGCAGUCACUGGGAAGGAGGCCAAGAAGCAUAACCCCUGCAUCUCUUUGCUUCUCUCAUAGCUUGGGAGGAGCGGAGGGAGGCCGGCCGUGCAUUAAGGGAGAGAACAAGUGAGGAAACACCUCGUCAAGUGUCAUGCAAAUCAGUGACAUCUGAAUUAUUCGAUUCAUUUCACAGUGGAGGAAACAGAUUCAGAGCAGUGCAGGCAUUUUCCAAGGGCACUGAGGCAGCACCUGGACUUGAACUCUGCUCUUCCAUCACCAGCCCCCUGCUCCUGCUGCAGAGUGCAACAGACUUAAGAAACAUCUGGAAAGUUGGGGAAACAACUCUCCAUGACAAGUUAAAGAUGAGAUAUGGGCCAACAUUGUGUCACAGCGAGUUAAGCUGCUUUUUCUGAUGCUACCAUCUCAUAUUGGAGUGCAAGUUCAAGUCCUGGCUGCUCCUUUCUGAUCCAGCUCCCUGUUAAUGUGCCUGGGAAAGCAGAAAAAGGCGACUCAAGUCCUUGUGUCCCUGACACCCACGUGGGAGACUCAGAUGGAGUUCCUGGCUUCUAACUUCAACCUGGCCCAGACCUGGCUGCUGUGGCUAUUUGAGGAAUGAGCCAGCAGAUAGAUCUCUUUCUCUCUGUCUCAUCCUCUCUCUUCAUCACACUGCCUUUCAAAUAAAUAAAUACACAGUUAAAAAAAUAGAGGUGUC